AGCAGCCGCGGUAAUUCCAGCUCCAAUAGCGUAUAUUAAAGUUGUUGCAGUUAAAAAGCUCGUAGUUGAAUUUCGGGGUCAGUAGGUUGGUCAUGCCUUCGGUAUGUACUGGUCUCACUGAUUCCUCCUUCUUGAAGAUCCGUAAUGUCAUUAAUUUGGUGUUGCGGGGAAUCGGGACUGUUACUUUGAAAAAAUUAGAGUGUUUAAAGCAGGCUAACGCUUGAAUACAUUAGCAUGGAAUAAUGAAAUAGGACGUUUGAUCCUAUUUUGUUGGUUUCUAGGAUUGACGUAAUGAUUAAUAGGGAUAGUUGGGGGCAUUAGUAUUCAAUUGUCAGAGGUGAAAUUCUUGGAUUUAUUGAAGACUAACUACUGCGAAAGCAUUUGCCAAGGAUGUUUUCAUUAAUCAAGAACGAAAGUUAGGGGAUCGAAGACGAUCAGAUACCGUCGUAGUCUUAACCAUAAACUAUGCCGACUAGGGAUCGGAUGAUGUUAAUUUUUUAAUGUACUCAUUCGGCGCCUU
rnacentral:rRNA from 1 species